AGCGGCGGAUGGGUGAGUAACACGUGGGGAACCUGCCCCUAAGUCUGGGAUACCAUUUGGAAACAGGUGCUAAUACCGGAUAAUAAAGCAGAUCGCAUGAUCAGCUUUUGAAAGGCGGCGUAAGCUGUCGCUAAGGGAUGGCCCCGCGGUGCAUUAGCUAGUUGGUAAGGUAACGGCUUACCAAGGCGACGAUGCAUAGCCGAGUUGAGAGAUUGAUCGGCCACAUUGGGACUGAGACACGGCCCAAACUCCUACGGGAGGCAGCAGUAGGGAAUCUUCCACAAUGGACGCAAGUCUGAUGGAGCAACGCCGCGUGAGUGAAGAAGGUUUUCGGAUCGUAAAGCUCUGUUGUUGGUGAAGAAGGAUAGAGGUAGUAACUGGCCUUUAUUUGACGGUAAUCAACCAGAAAGUCACGGCUAACUACGUGCCAGCAGCCGCGGUAAUACGUAGGUGGCAAGCGUUGUCCGGAUUUAUUGGGCGUAAAGCGAGCGCAGGCGGAAAAAUAAGUCUAAUGUGAAAGCCCUCGGCUUAACCGAGGAACUGCAUCGGAAACUGUUUUUCUUGAGUGCAGAAGAGGAGAGUGGAACUCCAUGUGUAGCGGUGGAAUGCGUAGAUAUAUGGAAGAACACCAGUGGCGAAGGCGGCUCUCUGGUCUGCAACUGACGCUGAGGCUCGAAAGCAUGGGUAGCGAACAGGAUUAGAUACCCUGGUAGUCCAUGCCGUAAACGAUGAGUGCUAAGUGU
rnacentral:rRNA from 1 species